rnacentral:rRNA from 1 species
CCUACGGGGGGCAGCAGUGAGGAAUAUUGGUCAAUGGGCGUAAGCCUGAACCAGCCAAGUCGCGUGAGGGAUGAAGGUUCUAUGGAUCGUAAACCUCUUUUAUAAGGGAAUAAAGUGCGGGACGUGUCCCGUUUUGUAUGUACCUUAUGAAUAAGGAUCGGCUAACUCCGUGCCAGCAGCCGCGGUAAUACGGAGGAUCCGAGCGUUAUCCGGAUUUAUUGGGUUUAAAGGGUGCGUAGGCGGCCUUUUAAGUCAGCGGUGAAAGUCUGUGGCUCAACCAUAGAAUUGCCGUUGAAACUGGGAGGCUUGAGUAUGUUUAAGGCAGGCGGAAUGCGUGGUGUAGCGGUGAAAUGCUUAGAUAUCACGAAGAACCCCGAUUGCGAAGGCAGCCUGCUAAGCCAUGACUGACGCUGAUGCACGAAAGCGUGGGGAUCAAACAGGAUUAGAUACCCCAGUAGUC